CUGCUGUCACUGCUUCUCUUGGACUUGGACCUCCUACUGGCAGCUCCUGCAGGUAGAGAAGUCUACAGGAUGCCCCACAGUGCACUCAAAGCUUUAUCUGAUCGUGGUACUGUGGUGCUAGAAGCUGCCAUGACAAGUGCUUUGUCUGCCCUGGAACGAGCGUCUUCUGAGAAGAGUCGGGCUGAAGCGGGCUGCAGGGGCUGUGCUCCCUGCCUCUUUCAGGACUGUGGGCAGCCAGCAUCAUGUUGUAAGUUCUCAAACA